rnacentral:tRNA from 1 species
GCCCGGGUGGUGUAGUCAGGCCCAUCAUACGGGACUGUCACUCCCGUGACUCGGGUUCAAAUCCCGACCCGGGCGCCA